AUGGUCUACGCCCCAUUUUCCAUUAGACGACCCAUUCUCCGACCCAUUUUUCCACGACGCCUACCACUGCCAACACCGUCGCCGCCAACACCGUUUCCGCGACGCCUACCGCCUCCAACACCCAACACCGUCAACGGCUCACCGUCGCCGCCCGAUUCAUCGUCGUUUCACAAUACACACUGCCACCUCACAAUACACACCGCCACUCCAUCUUCUUUCUUCAGCGCCAAUUUUUCAAGGGCUCCUCUAUCGCUCCUCUUCUCUGCCAUUUGUCAUCGUCUCUUCAUCGUUCCUUUGUUCGAGUGCUCCUCUGCGGUUCCUCUUCUCUUCCGAUUGUUCAAGGCAAUAUGA